rnacentral:tRNA from 1 species
GCAUCGGUGGUUCAAUGGUAGAAUGCUCGCCUGCCACGCGGGCAGCCCGGGUUCGAUUCUCGGCCGAUGCA